CCUUCACUCCCUCUCACCGUCCAUCCACCGUGACUCACCGCGCCGGUGUCCGUCGCCGGUGACGGUGGCGGCCUUUCCUAAAUAACCACCACCAUUGGAUGCACAUAACUAUGCUAAACACGAAUAUGGAAACGGAUUUGGGAAAUGGUUCUCAUAUUGGUCGAAUCGAGCCUAAACAGUGGAAGAACCCUAGCCUCUCUAAGUCAAAUUAAAUGGCGUUGAUCCUGAAUUAACCUCUAACACCAUAGGGUUUUCACUUUCUAUCCUCAAUGCUACACUCCGGUACGCUCAAAGCGAGAAAAUGUCACAGAAGAGAAACAAUCUUACCGGAGAAGACGAUCGGAAAACUUCAGCAGACUUUGAGCAUGCUCAUUGAACCACACUCAUGGUACAAAUUUGAUCAUGGCUUGUGAGAUGCCUGCUUGGGAUGUUCAUUGUGGCUAGCACUUGUGCGUAUUGGGUUGGUUUAUGGCUAUGGUUGAUGUUUGCUGCAGUGUGUGGAUUUGGUUUGAUGCAAGAGUGUUUGGACAUUUACCAUGUUAACUCCCUGUUAAGCUUUUGUAUCAAUGAUUGUUGUCCAGGUUAUUGCUUAACCAUGGUGCUGACAAAACUGUGGCGUGUUGGUGUAUACUCACUGCAGGGUUGUGGUCUGGUGAGGCUAGGAAAUGGUUUCCAGCAGAACCAAUUUGCAACAUGGUUGGGACUUGCCCUUUGGCUUGGUGCAGCAGGGUGCUUUGAUCCUAUACAUUAUUGAUGUUUCAUGCUGCAGACUAAUGGAUUUGGACUGAAAUAUUCCUCCAUGAUAUAGGGCAAUGAGGAUCCAAAAGACCAUGGUAGCAUGGUAGUGGAAAUAAGGUCUGCAGAUGUCUAUUUUCCACUGAAUUGCUUUGAAUUGUUGGACAGGGUAUGAGUUGUAGGAUAUUUGCAGGUGUGCAUAUUCUGGUUCAAGGGUAUGUUCAAGGCUCAAUGCAGGUUAACCUUGCUACAAUGUUAGGUAUCCUAGCUGGUUGAAGGUAGUAGACAUGGUGCAUAUGGUUGUAAGCAUGGCUUGUGAUGAAGCACGAUUGGCAUGGUUCUACAAGGUUCAUGGAAGCUCAAAAUUGGUCCUGCAAUGCUGCAGAGUGCUCUUUGACUUGGUUUCCUGUUGGCUGCAAGAUGUGGAUGGUUUGGUAACAUUGCAGGAUGCUGUUUGCAGGAGUUGUUUGCUCCACUGUUCUACAAUCUUGCUGCAGACAGUGCAUGAACCAUUUGCGUGUUGAUUGUAUUGCCCGUGAUUUUUGUCUGUUGCAGGUUCAGGUUGUAUGGUUCAUGGUUGUGUGGCCUAGCUCAAACCAUUGGUCCAACUUCAGUCAUCAUGUCAUGACUUUAUGGAGUUCAUGUUUUGAUUUGGCUGUUGCAGUACCAUGAUGGCAAGGUGUGUCAAGGUGGGUGCAAAACCACAAUUCAUGUCUAUUGCUUUGUCAAAUUAAUCAUGUAUGUGUCAUGCUUGAUCAUGUAAUUAGGGCAUUUAGUUAUUGGUGAAUGCAUGGCCAGUUCAGCAAAGCAAAGAUAGAUUGUCAAGGCAAGGUACCCAAGUUAUGGUAUGGUGGUCAUGGACAUGAAAAUGAGUUAAAUUGCUUGAAAAUGAAGAAACCAAGCAAAUCAUAUCAAAUUAAGAUCUUUGGAUGAUGUGUCAAGGCCAAGUGGGUUAGAUUAGGUUUGAGAGGGUCAAAAAUGGGAAGGUUGACUUUGGUCCACAUUGACCAAAAAAGUCAAUUGUUGACCAAAGUCAACAAAUGGUCAAAAUUCAAAUUUCAUUGUAUUUUAUUUGUAAAUGGACAUUAAAUUAAUGGUUAUUAUGGAAUUUUGGGUUUUUGGAUUUUGGGUUGACUUUGGUCAGAGUUGACCAAAAAGUCAAUUGUGACCAAAGUCAACAAAUUGGUCAAAAAUGUCAAGUUUUGUAUUUUAUUAUGUAGAAUCAAAUGUAAUGGUUUAAAAUGAUAUGAAAUGGAUUGAAAAGUGGUUUGACAUUGGUUUA